GCCUCGGUGGUGGAAUAGGUAGACACGCAGGACUUAAAAUCCUGUGGCCCGCAAAGGCCGUACCGGUUCGCUUCCGGUCCGAGGUA
rnacentral:tRNA from 1 species